GUCUGAGGACCCGCAGACAGGACGGGGACACUGGCCAGGAGAGCGGCUCUGGGUGACAUGAGGGGAUCUCUUCGUCCUUGGCGCCCGUGGGAUACCCUGCCCACUCGUCUUGAGGCACCUGGGGGAGAACAGACACAUGCAUGCGUCAGGCGUCCCCAAGAUGCCUGGGGUCCUGGGGGGACGGGCGCCCUGAGCUUCCCAGAAGACACGCUCCCGGCGGCCAGGUGCCAUUCCCAGCGUGUGCAUCCCGGGGAUGCUUCCUGGCGCUGUCGUUCACAUCCUAAAAGGACAUUCACGUGUCAUCGUGGUUUUCUCCCCGCUACUAAACUGAUGCAUAAACAUGGAAACGUGACAACAUGCGAAGACGGCUGGAGGAUAAACACACCUGUAACCUCGGCACAGGGGAAACCAAGCCGCCUGCAUCUUAGAUGGAUUCCCUGCUGCUGGUGAAUCAAGUAACCAGCGAGACCAGCUUGUACUUCCCUGUUUCUGACUUAAGCCAGUCCAUAGCCUUUGACAGAAAAAAUUUCAAUUGAGCGUAAACCAGAGUGAAGAGCCGGGUGAGGUUACCGGUUCCACAGCGUGUGCCUCCGGACGACCCCAGGACCGGAGAGCCACGCAGAGGCGCCGCCGUGCCCCGUCCAUACACCUCCCUGGUGCAUCACGGUGUCGAAAACCUGCAGCAGGUGUGCGAGGCCGGCCGAUGGGGACGUCCAACCCGCUCAGUCCGUGGCUCCGUGUCUGCAGGGAGCAAGCACCCAGGCGACGUUCUCUGAACAGCAGCUACCGGCCUCUGCGGAUCCGGUGAGGCGUUGGCUGCACACAGUGGUCACCGGCUACCCCGAUCGCCUACUUGCACGUCGUGAGCCGUGACGUCUGCGGUUUCUACUCUGACGCCCGUCCUGGUGCCUCCUGGGGUAUGGACGGCAGCAAGGCAGCUGGGCCUCUGAGGCCCAGGGGAGGACACGGCUCUGGGGCGUCACAGACACGGGGCGCAGCUGCGGCCAUCCCACACCCGGGGGCGUUCCCGGCAUCCCAGGGCCCGAGGGGCCUGUUUUGCUCAGGACAGUGGGGCACAGUCCACCCAGCAAAGCCUCGGCCACUUCCGUGAUCGUGCACGGGUUUCCCCGUCCAACACAGGCCUUGACUCUGUGUUUUGAAUGUGAGUAACCACGUAAAUCAAGGGAAGGGAGAAUUUUGGUCUGACAUUCUACCAAGACUUUAGUACCAUCUCCAAGAAUCCAGCAGAGUCUGGAUACGUAGAUACCUAGAUGCUCCAAGCCCUGGGUGCAGGUGGACCGCAUAGGUUCACCGUAGAAAAGUCCGGGGGCGUGACGCGCCGUCCGUUAUUAGUGAGACGCUCGUUCCGAGGAGUCCGGGAGCCGCUGUCAAGGACAUGAGUCGAGGCGAUCCCACGCGUGUGUCGCAAAUACGAGGAGCCCAGAGCGGGUGUGGUCAGGCUGCCGUGCCCACCUCCGAGGAUGUGAGCAGAUGCUCGUGGGGAGGCGCCCGCCGAGCCUGGAGACAGGGAGGGUGA